UGGAUGCACCCAAGGACCAUGAACGGAGUCGCUUACACUCUGGGCCAAACCCUGCAUAAGACUGCUAGCUGCUCCAGAAGCCAAGGGUAAAUCGUGGAACAUGUUCUCUUCCUAUCACUCCAAGGAGCCAGAGCUGCUGAAACCCUGACCUUAGACGCUGUGUGCAUGCAUGCAUGCCAUGUGCUCACGUAUGCAUGCACACACACACACACACACACACACACACACACACACACACACACACACACAGGUUCUCCCUGGUAUUGCCACCCUCAGCCACAGCCUCUGACAAGUCCUGUACUGCUAUGGAUCUGGCACUGACUGGAAACUGGGGGGGGGGGGGGGGGACACUAAGGAUGGAUAUGGGAGGAGCUGGGAGAGGGAAGUGACUAUGACCAAGAUACAUUGUAUAAGAUUCCCAAACAACUGAUACAAAUGUUUAAAGCGGUCUUUUCAAAAAGAUGAUGAGAGCCGGAAAGAGAUCGCAGGAGCAGAUCACCCUCUGCAGAGAGGGCCAUGGCUCAUCCCUCGCUCACUCGCUCACAGACCAAAUUUGCUUCUGGCCUCUGGAAUGGUGAAGAUAUGCCUGCAGUUUAAGCCACUGUGUCCCUGGUCCUUGGGUACAUCCAGCAGAGUAUAUGCGGGGGCCUCCGAAAUUGUUAAGACUCAUUAAAAGAAUUCCUUGGUAGACUUGGUUCAGGCGGCUUGAUCAGUAAAGCCCUUUCCCUGCAAGCAUGACGAACUACAUACAUUCCAUGCUCAGAACCCACCUCAAAAACCUGGGUGUGGUGCCCCAUGCUUGUAUCCCAGUACUGGGAAGGCAGAGACAAGUGGAUCCCUGAGGUUUGCUGCUAAGUUAGCUUAGUUAGUGAGCUCGCCAAUGACUGACCCUCUCUUUAUAAAACCAGCUAGGGGAUUCCUGAGAAACACAGGAGAUCCACCUCUGCUAUACACACACACACACACACACACACACACACACACACACACGCUCGUGCAUGCACAUACACACAUGUGGACACGCACACGCAAUACACAGACACAUACACGUGUAACACACACCACAACAGACACACAUGUACACAGACACACUACCUUCGAUGAUAUUUAUGAAACAGAACCCAUAUGAGCCGUUGUUUCAAGCAGAGGUUAAUACAGUGAAAGAGGUACUAGGACACUUGUUAAAUGAAAAUUUCAAAGCCAACAUGCACAUGAGUCAGUCUGUGAAUUAUUUGUGACUUUUGACUCUCCAGCCACAUGGCAGUAGAGGAGAAACAAGCAAUCCUUUAAAAAGCCAAAAUGUCACUACUUAAGCCAAGCCCUGCCUGAACUGUUCUAAUUGUAUCUAAAUUGUUUCCUUGGUUCCUCUCUCAAUAGUUUGAUGUGGCAGGUGCCCGGGGCCUUUAGCUUGCUAAUCAAUUAUUAAUCUGGGAGUUAAUAAUUCAUGUUAAUUGGUGCUAUAAGCACUUUCUCUGGCAAAUGUGAGCAAAGGUCACAACGUUUAACAGCAAAGGUGAAACAUUCUCCAAGUUUCUUUUUCCAUGGCCUAGCAUGAAAAUACUAAGAUACGGAGGAUGACAUUUAACUAGAGCUGGGAAAGCAAGAUAACUCCACAGCUGAAAGACUAGAUGUCUCUCUGGGGGUGGCCAGCUCUGUUCUGCAGCCUGCUGGAAGGAGGAGAGGUCUCUGGAGCUGACAGGGACAGGACUUCAGUCACACAGGGAGCAGCCUUCCUCGGAUGCACUCACUCGGAUGAAGGUUUGUGGGCCUUUGUCAACAAGAGGAAUAGUGUAAGUGGGAGCCUAGAUCCCUGCUAGUUAUGAAAGCCUUUCUUCAGGAAACAAAAAGGAGGCAUUUGAGAGACUAGCACUCUCCUGGGUUUGUCUCUAUUCUCUAAACAGUGAGAAUAGAGGACACAUCUCAUCCUAGGAUAGCCACGGAAGGAAUUCUGAGCAAAACCUCACUACCAUUGAGCGCUCUGGGUUUAACAAAUGUACAUAUGCUCUGAGCUCUAUUUCCAGGAAGGAGAUGGGGUGAUUCCGCAUUGCCACAGAAGGCAAACAAAAAAAUAGCUUCUUAUCUCAUCCAACCUGGACUCUCUUCCCAGCCCACUCCUUUGCCCUGGGCCUGCAAGGCAGCCACCUAGGCCUGGGCUCUGUGGGUGUUUGAUCCCCUUUGAGCCUUGAUAAUUAUUUGAAAGGUUCCUGUCAAAUCCCAGCCUCGUGUGAUGAAAUAACUCGUUCCCAUUUGGAGAAUAAAACUGUUCCUGGUAGCUCUUUGCAGCCUUGAGAAUGAGUGCUGCCGACUCAGGAUAAGGCUUAAAUGGAAACCACGGGUUCAGGGGGGCCAGGGCCAGGAGGCCAAACCUCCACCUUCUGUUUUUCUAAGGGGAACGUGGGUAAUACAUGCUUUUCAUUGCCCCCCUUUUGGCCGUUUACAUAUUGGGGGCUGCACGUUGGCGGCAGGUCCUCUAUUUAGGGAGUCCUUGAAAACCUGCCCCCUUUCACAGUUUUCAUCCUGGCACAUGCGUGUGUUUUAAGCAGAAGGAAACCCCGAAUCCAAGCUAGGAAAAGAGAAACAUAUGUAGACAUGGGGGGAUUUUUUUUUGCAGCCCAGAGUCACACAAUAAGAAAGCAAUCAUUCAGCUGCGACUUUAAAAAAUGGAUCCUUGCCCGAAUUUCCCGACUAUUUUCCUUCUAAAUGACUGUUUCUUUACAGAUCUACGCUAAUGUAAAGAGACAGGUUGUCCCCGUGCCAGGUCCCAACAAGCAAAGCAGGACAGAGGCUGUUUUUAGGGAAGGAAUGCGGCAAGAUAAUGCCUGCUCUGUCUCCAGCAGCUUGCCUGCCAGCUCGCCUGCUCGCUGGGGCAGAGGCAGGAGAGGAAGACUGCUCGCCCACGGCCUGGUCAUGAGCACACGCCCCCCCACCUGACUCUGCGUAACCAGUUACGUGGCCACAGUCCUAUUAUUUGCAGUCAGUAACAAAGAUUCAUCCUUGUGUCGAUCAUACAGCACGGAGAGUCUUUGUCACUCAGUGUAAUUAAUAGCCUUCACCUCGCAAGGGACGAUGGGAGGUCACUGUUCUCAUGUGACCCGGGUGUCCUCAGAGGGAUGCUUCAUGGAUCCGUGCUGCCCUCCUUCUGACACAGUAAGUGGGGAAAGGGAACCAGGUAAAUCUGAGACCUUAGGUGGUUUACAUCAUCUGAGUCAGAGCGGAUCCUGCUGGAGGGACCACACGAAGUCACCUAGGCUGCCUCACCAUCCCAAAUACGCCCUCUUGAAGGCCACGCUCAAAUGACACCACAUGGCGUUCUCGCUCUAAACCCUCUGUGACUGAUGCCAGUGCUCCAUGCUUGUUUAAAAACUUGCACUACCUCUCUGCGCCUACACUAUGAACCCGUGCUGAGGGCUGGGCUGGAGGGAUGGAUCCAGUUCACCCCAGAGUCUCUAUUCGCAGUAGUCUAGUGUUUCCUGCUCUCUGCCUAAGUAUGCACGCCGGAUUCUGGUGCUGUUUUGCCAUACAAUGGAGUGAUUAGGAUAACAGCAGAAGCCGAAUCACAUUCUCGAAGCAGCUUGCAAGCUUGGCCAAGGUCCGGCUUUGGCUGCACUUUCAUCGGUCAACAUGGGCGCUGUGUUGUGAUGCGUAAGUUCACGAUCAGCCAGGCAGGAUUUAGAAUCACCAUGAAACACAUCCCUGGCUAUAUCUAUAAUGUGUUUCCCCCACCGAAAGCUUUGUGUGAACGGGGAAGAACCACCCUGAACAGGAGCCGGGGUCGCAGUGUAUGUAAAAGGAGAGAGUGGGCUGACGGCCAGCCUUCGGUUCUCUCUGCAUCCUGACUGCAGUGCACUGUGAGCAGUGGCCUGGUGCUCCUGCCCCACAGAUUCCCCACUGUCAUGGUCUGCACCCCAAACCCUGAGCAGAAGAAACUCCUCCUGCCUGAAGUUGCCUCAGUCGGGUGUUUUGUCACAGCAACAGGAAAGUAACCGACACAGUCAGACCGCUUAAGAACAGCAGGCCCAGCAGCCUCUGCUCUAUGUUCUGACAGCAAGCUCAUUCCAGACCCUCAGCCACAAUGCCUUUGCAGUUGCUCAUCUGGAGGACUUGGAUUCACAAAUCUGCUUGGGUAUUAUAAUGGCCGCCGCGACAUCUUUCUGUCUCAUGCCCAUGCUGACCUGCCCCGUGUCUCAGCUCUGGCUGUAUUACAAAACACUAUGGACUUGAAGCUCAAUGGGUCGUGACCCAGCAGGGUUCCUCCUGCCGUGGGAAGGGUCAGUUUCUUGUUGUGCCCUUGUGGGUCCCUUCUCCAGGACACACCAGUAUAAAAACUCUCCUUCCUGUAAAGUCACCAACCACAUCUCACCAGGAUUCAUUAAGCCCAAUAAACUCCCGAAAGCCCCAUCCACAGACCCAGCCAUGACGGGAGUUGGGGCUUCGAUAGAAAGUUUUGGGAGAAAUUCAACUUAGUCCAUGGUGACCUCUACCUCAGAGCCCCUCAAAGAGCAAAGCCCAGUUUCUACUCAGAGCACAAUGCCUACUCUACAGAUUAGCUUGCCAGGCAUUUUAGUGUAGGCAUUUUUAUUCGUGAUAUAUUUAAUAUAUAUUUAUAUUAUUCAUAUACAUUUAAUGUAACGAUAGUCACGUUGUAUGUGUUUUAGACUGCAGAAUAUGAAGUUAGCCCUGCAUAAUCAAUUUCUACCUAAAGUGUCAAUUUUGUAUUAAGACAUCCAUGUAUCAGCUGUCACUGUGGAUCAGCCACAUGAGUAAUUGGAAAUGUAACUUGCAUUCAGUGCCCUGUGUACGAUUUGUUCUAAAGACCUAAAGGAAAAGGUCAAAUCGGCUGGCAUGGCCACCUAAACACCGGACGAUGCUUUAUGAAACUGAGGCAGUUUCGCUUUACCACCGACCUGAGUCACAGCAGGAAAACAAACCAAGGGGGUGAUAAAGGCCGCUGCACCUGUCUCUGAAGCGACCACACCUUUUCCUCUUCCGUGAAUUAUUAAGACGGGGAAAAAGGAGGCGGAUGGAUGCUGUCGGGCAUCAUGUUUCUUCCUUGACUUUGCUCGUCAUUAGCUCAGGGUUCCGCCUGGCAUGUAUGUGGAGGGCCAGCGAGGUUUCAGAGCUGACUGAACAUUACCUCCAGUGGCUUCUAGGACCACUUAAGGUCUUGUCCUUGUCCUUGCUUUUAUUGCACAUUAAGGAAAAUGGGCACCUACAUUCCAGGCACCAACUUCAAGCUGGUUUAUAAAGUGCAGAAGCCACAAAGGAAGGACAGCUUGGUGGCCAUGGUCAGACAAGUCUGUGUCAGGCCUGACUUCCACAGAGGCUGGAGUGGCUGAGCUGGCUGACAGGAUAGGAGCUGAUGAAAGAGUGUUUGCCCAGCAGAUGGUUCAGUGAGCUCUAGAAUGGAGCCACCUUAGGAAACAGUCAUCUUGGCAAACACCCACCCUGCCAUUCUCAAGAGCCGGAUAUAAACAGUAAAGGGCUAACCUGAGAGGCUGCAUGUCCUGAGAAUAUGAGUUCAUGAGCCUGAGCAUGUUGUACCAUGACCCCCUCUGCCCAGCGUGGCUUCCUCCUCACCCAUACCCACCAGCCAAUUUCACAGUCACUCUUGUCACCAAGACUGGGUUCCGUCUGUCUCCUUGAUAGGACGUGAGCUUCUAGGAGUCUCUGACUUCUCAGUCUCCACCUGGAUCAUGGUUCAAGCUCAUUUUUCUGCUGUGUGUCUCUGUUCUAAUUCUCAGAAGUGUGUUCCCUGCCAGGGUGUGUGACCACAAGCUCCACUCAUUCAGAAGAAGAAAGCAAACGGCUGGCUCCCCACAGGGAAGUGCGUGUGUGUACGUGUGUGUGUGUAUGUGUGUGUAUGUGUGUGUGUGUAUGUGUGUGUAUGUGUGUGUGUAUGUGUGUGUGUAUGUGUAUGUGUGUGUAUGUGUGUGUAUGUGUGUGUGUGUAUGUGUGUGUAUGUGUGUGUAUGUGUGUGUACGUGUGUGUAUGUGUGUGUGUAUGUGUGUGUAUGUGUGUGUGUACGUGUGUGUAUGUGUGUGUGUACGUGUGUGUGUAUGUGUGUAUGUGUGUGUGUUUCUUAUGAUAUUUCUACUCAUUAAUAAACUGAGAAUGGAUUCCAGAAACACUGAAAGGUGAGGAAGGAACCACCUAACACACACACACACACACCCCACACCACAACACCAUACACACCACACACACACACACCACACCACACCACAACACCAUACACACCACACACACACACACUACACACCACACCACAACACCAUACACACUACACACACACACACCACACCACACCACAACACCAUACACACCACACACACACACUACACACCACACCACAACACCAUACACACUACACACACACACACUACACACCACACAUACACCACUCACACCACAUACACAACACACACACACACCCCACACCACAACACCAUACACACCACACACACACACACACACCACACCACAACACCAUACACACCACACACACACUACACACCAGACACACCCACACAUACAUACCACACACACACUCUCUCACACACACACAGACACCACACACACACAGACACCACACACACACUCUCUCUCACACACACAGACACCACACACACACAGAUACCACACACACACUCUCUCACACACACACAGACACCACACACACACACAGACACACACACCACACACCAUACCACAUACACACACAUAGGCAUAUACCACACACACACUCUCUCACACACACACAGACACCACACACACACACAGACACACACACCACACACCAUACCACAUACACACACAUAGGCAUAUACCACACACACACACACACACACACACACACACACACACACACACACACCACACACGGCAGGAGAGAAUACACAUAGGACUACCCAUCUCUCCACUCACUCACUUUUCCAGACUCCACUGACAUUAGCAAGCCUCAUCUUUGUUAUGGAAUUUGAUGAAGCCGUAUUAACUCUGGAAGACCACGUCUCCCUCUUGCUGCCCUUCCACACCCACCUUCCCUGUCACAGAAUUAAUAUGAACAUGCAGCGUCUGGUCAGGCCUACAUGAAUCAGCUACAGGAUCUGUGUCCCAGCAGUCUGAAUCUAUAGCUGGAACCCCUAGCCACCAUGUCCUGUUCGCCCCAGCACCCUGCUAGGACCUGACCACCUAUCUGUAAGGGUUUGUUAAGAUGGCUCCCGCUUCCUUAGCACGGGUGUGACUACUGAUGUGACACAGUUUUUGCUCAGACUCUCAUACUGUGGUUUGCUAAAGUAAACCCCUGCAGAGGUGCCAAAGCCGCUCUAUAGCCAUUGCUAGACCGUGAUGGCGGUGCCCUCCCAGUGUCUGCUCUUUUGGUUGUCGACACUCCUCUCAAAGGAGUUGGAAAGAUUAUAUCUUCAGAAAUUUCUUCACAGCCUGAGACAAUCUCUCCCCUCUAAAUCCACUGUGAAUAAUGGCAUCCGGCCCCGAGAACAAUGGAAAAUCCUCACUUCCUUGCACACGAUCGCUGUGGCAGGGUCACAGACUGGUUCUGUCAGUCUAGCUGGGACUUCCCCUAGGUUCUAUUCAAGAAGCCUUCUGGAGGCAAUCAUACCCACCUGGAGUCCCAGCUACUCUGGAAACUGAGGCAAGAGGAUAGCUUGAAUCUGGAUUUUAGGCCGGCAUUGACAAUAGAUCAAGACCCUAAGACGAAAGGAGAAAGGUGGAACCAAUCUCCCUCGUUUUGAAGCAGGAGGGUCAAUGUCUCGGAAUGAGCAGCCACUUCCCUUAUGAGCUUCUUCCCUCACCAUGAAAGACCUGGAGCAGUGACAGGUUGACAUUGCAGUGGAGUCUGCUGAUAGCUAUUUAACAGCCCUAAACAACACAGCCACACCGUUCCCUCUGAGGUGUGAGAAACACUGGAAAGGGAGGCAGGAAAAGCAUAAGGACCCGAAGAAGGUAGGAAGCAGGACUGUGUAAUGAGAUCUUCUAGUCAAAAGACAGCCAUUACCAUCUCAUGCACAGCAGCCUCCUAUGCCUCGACUGGGUCUUCUCGAGAACAGAGCUAUCAGCGGCAGGCCACGGAAGAAGGGCUCAGGGGCCCUACUCACUGAAGACUUCAGUUACUGAUGGAUUCAAGGAACCAUGGCUUCCGUUGUAUGCGCUGCCAAUCCCACCAGGUUUUAUUAGAGAGUCCCAGUCCGGGGCUCACACACAUGGCCCUGGUUAGUCUAACGGGGUCACAAGUAAAACCAGUACUGGAUGAGCAGGAGGUGGGAGAGGGCAAGCGGGGGACAGAAUGCACCCACACACACACACAUAUAUGAAAUUGUCAAAGGACAACAUCAACCAAUGAAAAGUCCUAGCUGGAGCAGCUCUAGUAGUAACUGUGUUGUCGUGCUUGAAACAUUAGCAACAAUCAAUAUUUCUCUGAGCCCCAGGCACAGUUCUAAAUGCUUACUAUGUCCUGCCACCGCCUGUGCGUCAUCAAUAUCCACUGGAUAUCCGGGGAAACUAAGAAAAUAAUAACAAUAAUCAGGCUAUAACGACCAUUGUGAAGUCGGCAACUUUGAUCAGCAUCGCGCACGCCUACUGCAGACAAACCUAAAACCCCUGGCCUAAUCUGCAGACGGCCUACGUGUCUGUCUGAGACGCUUAGCAGAAAGAAGGAUUCCACGCAGUGGGUCAACAAAUGUGUUUGGUUCCCUCCUAGUUGCUCUACCAUUCUUGGGUCCCCUGGAGGUCUUUGGAGUUCACCCUGCUAGUGAAGGAUGAGAUGUAGAGAAAUACGACAUCUCCUGUGACUGAGAGCAACCUGACUGACUUGAAUGCAUGCACAGAAGCUUGGAUCAUGUGGGAGGAGAGGGAGCAAGAGAGUGGACAUCCCUGCCCACCUGUUAGGGGUGGCCACCCACUCCCCCAUCCUACCCCAUGCCAGCCCACAUUGGCAGAAAUUAGACUAGGAUGCCUCAUGUUCUCAUGAGCUACCCGGCUGCUUUCUAAGCCAGUCUCCCACUCCUACACCUAACCCAGGGAAGUAAGAUGGGGUGAUGGCCGAGGUCUAUGUGAACGUUCCCUGAGUCACUCACGCUGUGGCCUGAAACAAACCAAGCUGACACACCACCAGGCCCUGACCUGGGCCAGGCAUCCUGAAAGAUGACCCGGCUUCUGAGUGCAAAGGCGGGGCUCAGCCCUUUGGAGUCUAGCUCUGGUUCCCACCACGCCUUGUUUAUUUGAUAGGUCUCAGAACCUUCCUGAAGUUCAGCCAGGUGUAACAGGACUUACCUGACCAUGGCUGGAGGCACCCAGGACGAGAGUGGGCAGAGGGGCAGGUCCUGUACUGGCCUUGCUUCUCCCUCCUUGCCAGCCAAAGUCAUCCUGUUUACUUCAGAUUUCAUUGGGCUCCUCAGUCAGUCAGUCUCUGAGGAGAUUCCCUGCAGCCAUUUUUUCCUAUUUGAAGAUACUCCUGUCAGAGUGCGGCAUCAGUAACUCACUGGAUCUUUAGAAAUCCGUGGGUUAAUACAGCUUAGUCUAGGUUGGUUCGCCUCUUGGCAUUUUUUCCUCCUCUGAGCCCACCAGCAGAAGCCAAGUCAACUCUGGAUUUUCAUUCUUCCUGCGGUAGACAAACUCUCCUCAAACAGAUUCCUUCCUCUGCAAGAUAACAAUGUAACUUGUUUUCCUAGAGAAGGUGUUCAGUGCAAAUAAACAGCACAAAAUUUUUAAA